AACGAACGCUGGCGGCAUGCCUAACACAUGCAAGUCGAACGAGACCUUCGGGUCUAGUGGCGCACGGGUGCGUAACGCGUGGGAAUCUGCCCUUGGGUUCGGAAUAACAGUUGGAAACGACUGCUAAUACCGGAUGAUGACGUAAGUCCAAAGAUUUAUCGCCCAAGGAUGAGCCCGCGUAGGAUUAGCUAGUUGGUGAGGUAAAGGCUCACCAAGGCGACGAUCCUUAGCUGGUCUGAGAGGAUGAUCAGCCACACUGGGACUGAGACACGGCCCAGACUCCUACGGGAGGCAGCAGUGGGGAAUAUUGGACAAUGGGCGAAAGCCUGAUCCAGCAAGGCCGCGUGAGUGAUGAAGGCCUUAGGGUGGUAAAGCUCUUUUACCCGGGAUGAUAAUGACAGGACCGGGAGAAUAAGCUCCGGCUAACUCCGU
rnacentral:rRNA from 1 species